rnacentral:tRNA from 2 species
GGGCUACUAGCUCAGCUGGCUAGAGCACUAGACUUUUAAUCUAGGUGUCCCGGGUUCGAGUCCCGGGUGGCUCA